rnacentral:rRNA from 1 species
GACGAACGCUGGCGGCGUGCCUAAUACAUGCAAGUCGAACGCUUCUUUCCUCCCGAGUGCUUGCACUCAAUUGGAAAGCGGAGUGGCGGACGGGUGAGUAACACGUGGGUAACCUACCCAUCAGAGGGGGAUAACACUUGGAAACAGGUGCUAAUACCGCAUAACAGUUUAUGCCGCAUGGCAUAAGAGUGAAAGGCGCUUUCGGGUGUCGUUGAUGGAUGGACCCGCGGUGCAUUAGCUAGUUGGUGAGGUAACGGCUCACCAAGGCCACGAUGCAUAGCCGACCUGAGAGGGUGAUCGGCCACACUGGGACUGAGACACGGCCCAGACUCCUACGGGAGGCAGCAGUAGGGAAUCUUCGGCAAUGGACGAAAGUCUGACCGAGCAACGCCGCGUGAGUGAAGAAGGUUUUCGGAUCGUAAAACUCUGUUGUUAGAGAAGAACAAGGACGUUAGUAACUGAACGUCCCCUGACGGUAUCUAACCAGAAAGCCACGGCUAACUACGUG